UAAGCGUUUCUGAAAGGAAACGUUGAACGGACAGAAGUCAGCAGAGGU
rfam:Alicyclobacillus sp. TSBA-503 genome assembly, contig: Ga0105849_105